AUUUUGGGGUGAAUUUGGGGGAUUUUGGGGGUUCCUGUUGGAAUUUUGGGGUAAAUUUGGGAGGUUCAUGUUCCAUUUCGGGGUGAAUUUAGGAGAUUUUGGGGUGAUUUUGGGAUUUCCCAGAUGAAUUUUGGGGUGAAUUUAGCAGAUUUUGGGGUUCCCGUUGCAUUCUGGGAUCCCCCCCAGGUUCGGCGCAGUCAGCGAUUGGCCGGCAGCUCCAGGCCCCGCCCCCAGAGCAGCCGCAGCCAAUCAGAGGCUGGGAUUGAACAGACCACGCCCUCCGUGCCCGUAGAAGGAAAUGGGCGUGGCUUAGGCUCGGCCACGCCCCCGCCAGAGGAGGAGCAGCCAGCAGGGGGCGCCAAGAGCCGGCUCCGCCCCCAGAGAGAAGCGGGCCCCGCCCACAUCCGGGUAAGGACCAGUAUAGACCAGCAUGGACCAGCAUGGACCAGUAUAGAGCAGCAUGGACCAGUAUGGACCAGCAUGGACCAGUAUGGACCAGUAUAGACCAGGAUGGACCAGUAUAGAGCAGUAUAGUUCAGUAUGGAGCAGUAUAGAGCAGUAUAAACCACUAUAGACCAGUAUGGACCAGUAUGGACCAGUGUAGACCAGCAUGGACCAGUAUGGACCAGCAUGGACCAGUAUGGACCAGCAUAAACCAGUAUAGACCAGUAUAAACCACUAUAGACCAGUAUAGACCAGUAUGGAGCAGUAUAGAGCAGUUUAGACCAGUAUGGACCAGCCCAGACCAGCAUAAACCAGUAUGGACCAGUAUAAACCAGUUUAGAGCAGUAUAGACCAGUAUGGACCAGAAUAGACCAGUCAUGGACCAGUAUAGAGCAGUAUGGACCAGUAUAGAUCAGUACAAAGCAGUAUAGACUGGUAUGGACCGGUAUCAAGCAGUUUACACCAAUUUAGACCAGUAUGGACCAGCCCAGACCAGCAUAAACCAGUAUGGACCAGUAUAAACCAGUUUAGAGCAGUAUAGACCAGUAUGGACCAGAAUAGACCAGUCAUGGACCAGUAUAGAGCAGUAUGGACCAGUAUAGAUCAGUACAAAGCAGUAUAGACUGGUAUGGACCGGUAUCAAGCAGUUUACACCAAUAUGGACCAGUAUAGACCAGUAUGGACCAGUAUAGACCAGUAUGGACCAGUAUAGACCAGUAUAGAGCAGUAUGGACCAGUAUAGAUCAGUACAAAGCAGUAUAGACUGGUACGGACCGGUAUCAAGCUGUUUACACCAGUAUAGACCAGUAUGGACCAGUAUAGACCAGUGUAGAGACCCCCCCCCCCCCCCCCCCCCCCCCCCCCCCCCCCCCCCCCCCCCCCCCCCCCCCCCCCCCCCCCCCCCCCCCCCCCCCCCCCCCCCCCCCCCCCCCCCCCCCCCCCCCCCCCCCCCCCCCCCCCCCCCCCCUAUGGACCAGUAUAGACCAGUAUGGACCAGUAUAGACCAGUAUGGACCAGUAUAGACCAGUAUAGAGCAGUAUGGACCAGUAUGGACCAGAAUAGACCAGUAUGGACCAGUAUAGACCAGUAUAGACAAUUAUGGACAAUUAUGGACCAGUAUGGACCAGUAUAAACCGAUAUGGACCAGUACAGACCAGUAGAAACCAGUAUAGACUAUUGUGGUCUAGUAUGAACAAGUACAGAUCAGGAUAAACCAGCAUGGGCCAGCAUGGACCAGUAUGGACCAAUAUAAACCAGUAUGGACCAGCGUAAACCAGUAUAGGCCAGUACAGGCCGGUAUAGACUAUUAUAAACCAGUAUAAACCAGUAUGGGCCAGUAAGGAGCAGUAUGGACCAGUAUGGGCCUAUAUAAACCAAAAUGGACCAGUAUGAAACAGUAGGGACCAGUACAGACCAGUAUAAACCAGUAUAGACCAGUAUGGCGCAGUUCCCCCCAUCCCCCCCAGCUCUGUCCCCAGCUGCUCUUCCAUGGAGUGGUGGCACCUGGGGAUGUCCCCAAAGUGUCCCCAAUGUCCCCAAAGUGUCCCCAAUGUCCCCCCCCCCCCCCCCCCCCCCCCCCCCCCCCCCCCCCCCCCCCCCCCCCCCCCCCCCCCCCCCCCCCCCCCCCCCCCCCCCCCCCCCCCCCCCCCCC
ensembl:lncRNA